rnacentral:lncRNA from 1 species
AUUAAAUGAUCGAUGACUUCGAAAAGCCUAACAAGCCAAAGCCAAUCCCAAGCAGUCUUAUAGACUUGUGCCCGGAUACUUCUCCGAGGAGUCUUGAUGAUGGGGGAGCAACUAUAGAUACACUACAAGAAAAAAAACUUUUAGCAAUGGCUAUUAGCGAUGGCAGACUUACCGUCGCUAAUAACUAUUUUUACCAACCACAAUGGUGACCAA